rnacentral:rRNA from 1 species
AACUUGAGAGUUUGAUCAUGGCUCAGAACGUACGCUGGCGGCACGCCUAACACAUGCAAGUCGAACGAAGUAGUAAUACUUAGUGGCAGACGGGUGAGUAACAUGUAGGUAUCUGCCCUUUGGCCUGGAAUAACACGAGGAAACUUGUGCUAAUACCGGAUAAGUCUUUACGGAGAAAGCUUUAUGCACCAUUGGAUGAGCCUGCACUUGAUUAGUUUGUUGGUGGGGUAAUGGCCUACCAAGACUGUGAUCAAUAGCUGAUUUGAGAGGAUGAUCAGCCACAUUGGGACUGAGACACGGCCCAAACUCCUACGGGAGGCAGCAGUGGGGAAUCUUGCACAAUGGAGGAAACUCUGAUGCAGCGAUGCCGCGUGAGUGAAGAAGGCCCUUGGGUUGUAAAGCUCUUUCGUCGGGGAAGAAAAUGACUGUACCCGAAUAAGAAGGUCCGGCUAACUUCGUGCCAGCAGCCGCGGUAAUACGAAGGGACCUAGCGUAGUUCGGAAUUACUGGGCUUAAAGAGUUCGUAGGUUGUUGAAAUAGUUGGUGGUGAAAUCCCAGAGCUUAACUCUGGAACUGCCAUCAAAACUUUUCAGCUAGAGUAUGAUAGAGGAAAGCAGAAUUUCUAGUGUAGAGGUGAAAUUCGUAGAUAUUAGAAAGAAUACCAAAUGCGAAGGCAGCUUUCUGGAUCAUUACUGACACUGAGGAACGAAAGCAUGGGUAGCGAAGAGGAUUAGAUACCCUCGUAGUCCAUGCUGUAAACGAUGUGUGUUAGACGUUGGAAAUUUAUUUUCAGUGUCGCAGGGAAACCGAUAAACACACCGCCUGGGGAGUACGACCGCAAGGUUAAAACUCAAAUGAAUUGACGGGGACCCGCACAAGUAGUGGAGCAUGUGGUUUAAUUCGAAGAUACGCGCAGAACCUUACCAACACUUGACAUGUUCGUCGCGACUCUGAGAGAUUAGAGUUUUCGGUUCGGCCGGACGAAACACAGGUGCUGCAUGGCUGUCGUCAGCUCGUGUCGUGAGAUGUUGGGUUAAGUCCCGCAACGAGCGCAACCCUCACUUUUAGUUGCCAUCAUUAAGUUGGGCACUCUGAAAGAACUGCCAGUGAUAAGCUGGAGGAAGGUGGGGAUGACGUCAAGUCCUCAUGGCCCUUACGUGUUGGGCUACACACGUGCUACAAUGGUAUCUACAACAGGAAGCAAGACUGCGAAGUUAAGCAAAUCCUCAAAAGAUACCUCAGUUCGGAUUGCACUCUGCAACUCGAGUGCAUGAAGCUGGAAUUACUAGUAAUCGUGGAUCAGCGUGCCACGGUGAAUGCGUUCCCGGGUCUUGUACACACCGCCCGUCACACCAUGGGAGUUGGUUCUACCUUAAGGCAAGGUUUAAAACCCUUGACCACGGUAUAGUCAGCGACUGGGGUGAAGUCGUAACAAGGUAGCCGUAGGGGAACCUGCGGCUGGAUUACCUCCUU